GUUUUAUGAUAAUGCAAAGCAUCUUUGUUUAAAUACAUCUAAGAAAAAUACAAUGAUACAUUUCUUACCCUCUUUACAGUGUUCCACAUAGUCUGGGCAACAUUUGCCAUAUCUUUCGCAGUCUGCAUCACAGUCACACUCUCUUCCUCUUUCAAAGGCUUCAAAGCAACGUCCUCUGCAGGAGACUGCUGCUUAAGGCAGAACAAGAAAAAUGCCAUUUCUUCACUUGGUGUUGCAGAAACUGUGGGCCUGGUGCAACCCCUCCUGAAAGCAUGCAGAUCAGAGGUUUGCUCUGAGUCAGUCUGAGAACCAGCAUCAGUGCACAUUCAGUACCUUGAGAAGACACUUCUUGAAUCAAGGACAGUGACAGGAUCACCAGGGAAACGCAAAGUAUGUUCCAUAUGAUCAUUACUUUCAGCAUAUGGACUAAUUCUACUGAAUAAUAGCUGGAAGAAAAUGGGAUUCAACUAUAGGAAGAAAAAGAUUUCAUGCAAGGUUUGGUUAAUAUGAAGAAUUGCACCUGAUAAGAAGAAUAAGGAAAAUUAACGUGAGAAAGACAGGGUACUUCAGGUUUUGCCAUUGUGCAUAAGGCGAUAACCAGAUGGACAAGUACACUGGUAACUUCCCAGCGUGUUUCUGCAUUCAUGCUGACAGGUAUGUCUGGUUUCACAUUCAUCGAUGUCUGUGGAAAGAAAUGUGAACACGUACACAUCAGGAUUAUUUGAACCUGGUAUCAAACAGCGGUAUUUUUUCGCUUAUUUAUGUACAAGCAUAUGCACAGAGUUGGUGGAAGUUGUCUGGGUCUUCUUUUCUGAUGGGGUUGAACAUAUAAGACAAGCAAGUCCUUUCACACCUUACCUGUGCCAUUCCUUGUAACUUUUUAAUCAUUAAAGUCAGCUUUGAGGGGAUCCUCAUCUCUUUUGAUAGCAGCCAUAAUACAUACUCUACCUGAAGAGACCAGUUGUGAUACAGAGUUCUGGGGAGAAAGGGGGAUGUGCAAUCUGUAUACAUCAAUGAGGUUAUACAAAUACAGUCUUGCCCCAGAAAGCAAACUGUGGUGCCUGGUAAUAAUGUUUUAAACAAUAUGCUUAGGAAACACCCAGAUUAGUUAUCUCAACAGAGGAAGCCUUGACAGUGGGAGAGUUGUUCUUACAGUUAAUCCCUCCUCAGGCAAAGGUCUUUCCCUUCCAAACUGAUCUUCCCCAUGCCACAGGGAUGAAUUAAGCUCAGUAUCUGGGAACACUAUCAAUAAACGCUCCUAAAUUUUUUAUUUUUUUUUUUAAUCCCCCUCUCAGAUACAGAAGUACUAGACCACUGUAUGUAAAAUUUUCAAAGCAGAGUAGUGUGAUUUAGACACAGAUCAUAUAUAAUUAUAAUUUCUUUUGAAACAUCUGCCUCAUUCAGGACAGCAAUAGAGACCCUACUCAAGUUAAUCUCAGGCAAGAGGCAAGGCUUGCAUGAUUAAAACAGUGGAAGGAAGUUUCCUUCCCCUCUCUUUGUCUGAUUUACAGGGGUUGCAUUAGAUAAAAAUGCAAACACAGACGAGAAACAGAUGUGACUAGAAAUUUAUGGUAUGUUGUUAUCAAAUACUGACAGUUGUCUGUUGAAUGAACUUCCUUUUUAAAAAGCCUCACUUAGGUACAUUUUUCAUAUUAAACAGUAAUUUUUGAAAUUUAUAUGUUUAUUCCAAUGAAAUGGAAGUACAAGAAUAUUAACUAAUUCAAACUGGAAGCUGGAGUGAAGAGGGUAGAUUUUAGCUUAACCCUUUAGUUAAUAGUGGUAGCUGUAUUCCUAGGUCUUUUAAUUAAACUGCUAUACCUAUAAAAAACGUCAUGUUUACAACUACUGAAAUUUCUUUACAACGUAAAUACAAGGUUUAAUGUCUGCCUAUCUAUAAUUAAUAAAAUUAUACUUACAUUUUCCAACAUUAUAUAAUAUAUGUUGCUAUGUAAUUCUAGCAAUAAUUCUCAUUGCUAGAAUCUAGCUGUAGAUUACUAUUUAUCCUGGAAGGGUAUUGUGCCUCCUAGGAAGUGUCAUUGGCAUAUAUGCUAGGGUGAAGUACAUAGCUACAUACUAUACGUAUGUACAUAUGUACUAUAUAUUACUAUUAAUGUUAAUGUUAAAUGCCCUGGGACAAGCUCUAAUAAGGCCUAGCCUGUGGUACAGUUAGAUCUGAACUCAGCAGUAUUAUCACAAAAUAAAUGAACUGAUUUUUUUUUCUUAAAAAAAUCAAAAUGUGAGUUAAGUUGUCAAAGUCUGGCUUAAGAGAAGUGUAUUUCAAAAGAUGAAUUAAUUUUUUAUAACGCCCCCAAAAAAAACCGGGCAGAGCUUGUCAGUUACCACAGCUGCCCUGCUCUCCUCAUCAGAGAAAAAGAAAGGGCAGUGCAGUCAUCGUCACAACUUACGACAAAUCCCUUAUUUGUUUAUUUAUAAUCAGUCUCUCCACUCUCAGUGAAUCCCAUUACAACCCACUAUACAUCAUAAGUAUAGAUCACUUAAGAGCUCUGCUUAUAUCACCUGUAUGGCAGUGAUUAACCAUCCUGUAGCAGUGCUGGCAUUGGCCCUAGUAUGCUCAGUUCUAGAAUUUUUAUUCAAAACCUUUUGGAACCAAAGUACUACUACCACCAGUGGGAUUCUGAUAUAAGCAACAUCCCCAGGACUAGACUGGGUCUGAUAGUGUGUUUUGAAGUGUGAGAAAGUUCACAAAGGUGACCUACCAUAAUCAGAAGAAAGAGAAUAACAGAGGGAGAUAAUUUACAAACAACACAAUAAGCAGCAGAAUUUAAAAAAAGAGGUUAAAAAGGGGGAGGUUUGAAAACAUUUUUGCUGCAAUGUGCUCAGGAGACAAGAACAUGCAGAACUCUAAAUAGUUAUCAGGGUAAUUUGGAAAAAAACCACAGCACCACAGACCAUCAGCCCCUGGUAUAUAUUAAACAGUAACCUAAGAAUAAGGACCAAAACAAGACAAUUGCAUAGAUAUGACUGACAUUUACCUACACAUCUGUCAUUUCUUGCCUCAUAGCCUUCAGGACAAGUUUCUCUAAUGUUCCUUCUAGUCCUGGAGAAAGGUAUUCUGCUGUUUCUAUACUCUGAGAAGGAGCUGUAGAGAUUUGAGGAGUGCCUGUAAUACUGUUGAGGUUGAUAGUUGUCUCUCACAGGGGAGAAUUGAGCAUAGUUAUAACUAUUGUAAUAGGCACCAUAAUUUGGCAAUCUCUCCAAUCCAGCGCAAGAUUUCCCAUCACCUAAUAAAUGUUGUCCAGGUGGACAGAUACACUUGAAGCUGCCGGGGGUGUUGGUGCAUUGAAAUGCACAGGGCUUAGGCACUUGUUCACAUUCAUUAGUGUCUGCUCAUGUGACAUGAUCCAGAGCAACAAACCAUGUGGAAAGGAGAAAAAACAAACAAAAACAACAACACAUAACUAUAUGUAUAUAUAUACAUAUAUAUUUAUCUCAGUCCGUAGAACAAACUGAAGACAUAGAAGUGAGAUCUUGAACGCAGCAAAAUAUGGCAAACACAAUGCCAAGUAGGCAGGUUUCUCUAGCCUGAACAGUAAUAUAUCUUUAUCCUUCCUGUAAGGCUUCUUGUGACAUAAGACUGUGCUUACGUAGGACAAGAACUCUCCUGAAGAUUGUGCCUCAAGUGUUACUGAAGAUGAGUGGGAGAAGCUGUUGGACCCCUCUCUAAAGGAUAAUACUUAACACAGAACAUUCUUGAGAAGUACAGCAUUCAAACUGGCACAGAGGGAAGCUCAAAAAGGUCUGAUACCAUUAUCGUAUUAUGCAUCUGGGGAAAAAAUCAGGUUUUGAGGAUGUGUCACAAGGCUGCAGGGGAAGGAGAAAGCCCAGCUAAAAGCAGCAGCAGAAAAUACGUGAUACUAAUGUGACUGGACAGCUUACCCACACAAGGUCUUCCAGCUCCCUGGGACCGAUAUCCUCUUGGACACACACAACGGUAACUUCCUCGUGUGUUCUCACAAAUCUGGUUAUAGCGGCACUGGUGGGUUCCAUCCCGGCAUUCGUCAACAUCUGCAAGCAACAAG